GCGACCUCGAGGCGAGCAGCGGGGGUAAUACAGAGGUCCCAAGGGUUGUUCGGAUUCACUGGGCGUAAAGGGUGGGUAGGUGGUGAGGUAAGGCGGAUGUGAAAUCUCGGAGCUCAACUCCGAAAUGGAAUUGGAAACUACCUCGCUCGAGGGUUGGAGGGGGGACUGGAAUACUUGGUGUAGCAGUGAAAUGCGUAGAUAUCAAGUGGAACACCAGUGGCGAAGGCGAGUCCCUGGACAACUCCUGACACUGAGGCACGAAAGCUAGGGGAGCAAACAGGAUUAGAUACCCGAGUAGUC
rnacentral:rRNA from 1 species